rnacentral:lncRNA from 1 species
UUAUUUUUGAGGAAAGAUGUGGAUAUUUUUCCUUGAAAUUUUCAGGGACUUCAGGUGAAAUUGCGAACAAAAUUAUCUGAAAAAUUGGAAGGAAAAUAUUCGUAAGUUUACUAGAAAAUUGGCGUUUUAUUAAAGGAAAUUUGGCAACGCCUGAAGGCUCAUACGGCGUUCUUCCUAAGCACGGCAGUAUAGUGUUCAAAUAAAAAGAUGUAAAUCAGUGGCGUGGCGUGCUUUGCGAUUUAUCGAUUGAUCUACCAUUUAAACCAAUAGAAAAGGAUCGAUAAACAGGGUGUUCAAUGAACACCUCAAUAACCGAUUCUUUACAAUAACUUCAAAUGGGGAUUCAUCUAUAAUCGAUCAUUCACGCCACGCUACUGAUGUAAACUAAAAGUCAGGCUCUUUAAUUAUGUGUAAUAUUCUCAUAGGGAUACCUUGAAUUAGCCUAAAAUUUGUUCAAAAUUUUCCCUGAAUAAUUUGGCUUAUUUUCGCUGAAUGUCACUCAUUUGACAUAUUUAGGUUCAUCGACAUGGUGACAGAGCCCUGAACGUUCAUAUCCCCUCGAUCCGUACAAAGACAAAUCGUUUUGGCCGGAUGGACUCGGAGCUUUAUCACAGCGCGGGAAAAUCGGAUUACACAGGUUGGGUAACUUUUUGCGGCAACGUUACGAUGGAUUUCUGUCAGCCAAGUACUCACCGUCUGAGAUUUUCGUCUUUUCGAGUUUUUAUGAUCGAUGUUUAAUGAGCGCAAGCCUCGUCUUGGCGGGGCUCUAUCCUCCCGUUGGACACCAACUUUGGAACCCAGAUUUAAAAUGGCAGCCGAUUCCUGUCCAUACUGUUCCUUUACAAUACGAUGAUAUCAUUCGCGUAUCUAAACAUUGUCCCCUCUUGGCGAAAGAGGAGGCCGACUGGCAAAGCGUCAUCAAACUGAAACUGGUCAAAAUCAAGAACUUCUUGCAAACAUUUCAAAGGGCACUGGCCUUGAAAUGAGAACAAUCUUGGACGUCUUCUUCAUAGAUGACAAUUUGAAAGUCGUGGAGGAGGAAGGACUUCCGUUGCCUCAGUGGGCUCACAGUAUUGACCGGGAAAGACUCCGAUCACUCAGCAAUAUCGGAACUUUGAAACACUUUGCAACACCCGCCAUGAACAAACUCAAAUCAGGUAGCGAAAUAUUGUUGACACAUACAUCAGCUACCUAUACUGCCGUGCUAAGGAAAAACGCCGUAUGAACCUUCAGGCGUUGCCAAAUGUCCUUUGAUGAAACGCGAAUUUCCUGUUGAAAUGUAUGAAUAUUUUCCUGCCAAUUUUUCAGAUAAUUUUGUUCGCAAUUUCACCUUAAGUUCCCGAAAAUUUCAAGGAGAAAUGUUCAUAACUUUCCUCAAAAAUACACAUUUUAUCAAGGAAAUUUGGCAAUUCUCGAACGUUCAUACGAUGUUCUUUCUU